AAAUUUAGAAUUUAAAUAUAAUAAUACUGUUUUAGAAAUUGUAAAUGAGUUUACGUACCUUGGUGUUAUUUUUUCUAGAACAGGAAGUUUUUCUAAGGCAAAAAAGGCACAAACAGAAAAAGCCACACACGCUAUGUACGAUGUUAUCCGCAAAGGUCGAAAACAUAAUUUAUCUAUAGAAUGCCAACUCGAUCUUUUCGAUA
rnacentral:lncRNA from 1 species